CCUACGGGAGGCAGCAGUAGGGAAUCUUUCACAAUGGGCGAAAGCCUGAUGGAGCAACGCCGCGUGAAGGAUGAAGGCCUUCGGGUUGUAAACUGCUUUUAUAAGCGAGAAAUAUGAUGGUAACUUAUGAAUAAUGCUCGGCUAACUACGUGCCAGCCGCCGCGGUCAUACGUAGGAUCCGAGCAUUAUCCGGAGUGACUGGGUGUAAAGAGUUGCGUAGGUGGCAUAAUAAGUAGCUAGUUAAAUCUGGUGGCUCAACCAUUCAGACUAUUAGCGAAACUGUUAAGCUCGAGAGCGUUAGGGGUAACUGGAAUUUCUAGUGUAGGAGUGAAAUCCGUAGAUAUUAGAAGGAACACCAAUAGCGUAGGCAGGUUACUGGGACGGUUCUGACACUAAGGCACGAAAGCGUAGGGAGCAAACGGGAUUAGAUACCCCUGUAGUC
rnacentral:rRNA from 1 species